CCAACUUCAACUAUUUUAACAAACUCUGGAAACUCAUGUCCUGUAUUGGUCUGGAAAAAUAUCAAAGAGAGAUGCAAAUAAGAAGAAGUACACUGAACACAAGCAGUAAGUAAUCCUUUUGGCAUGGGAUGCUCCAGGACAUGUUAUUUCUAACAUGAACCACUGUCUGAAACCUAAGAAACAAAACAGAAGCCUCUCAUGACAUUAAUAUGCAAACCCAGGACAUGUCUCAUAAAAGAAAGACUGGGAAAGAAGGAAACUCGGCAGCUACGGUUUAUCUUGACAAAUACCAGCUGCAGAGGGUCACUUUAAAGAACUGGCCUUCAGGGGCUUUCCUGCUUUUAGGAGUCAAUGUAAUGCAGCAGCUCUGACAGAGCGAAGCAACACCCCACUGGCCUUGAAGAAAGCAACCAGGAAAGGCUGUUUGGACUGGGGCCCGUUCCUCCCAAUGAUUCCAGCAGAUUUUGUGUUGAUACUUCGGCCUUUAAAAAAAGCAGGAGUCUCCAGACAGAGCUGCAGGCCCAAGUUCUGCUGUGGGUUCAUCACCCAGUGGUUACUGGUGGCUGUGAUGUCAAACACUAGCCAACCCCCAUCGGAUGCCUGGACCUUUUUGGAGUCAAGCAAGAACGUCUCUGCAUCUCUGAAGACAGGCAGGUGGUGGGCAUAACAGUGACCACGGGAGCACCCGAGGGAGCCCCUUCCCCCCCUAUUGUGGGCCCUCAUGGUUUCAUCUGGGACGCGGCCAGCUUGGGAGGCAACACAAGACGAGUGAUAACUGAUGGACCUUCCAAGCUUCAUAAGUGGCCAACUUGCUAAUGGAGUUCUCUUUAUCCGAGAACUAUAUUUGUAAGGCAGACAUGGUGCGAAUGAAAGAGAGCAGAGUUGAGAUAGAAGGGCGUUCUGUGCGAGUGGAAAGUUUUAACAGUACAAGACAAUAGCUGUUUGACUAUUUCCCUUUUUAACUGUGAAUCAAGAUAACUGCAUGGGGUAAAAGUGCUCCUCAGGGCCCUGUCAGAGGGUUAAUGGACUAUAAUCUCUGAUUAGAAAGCAGCAUUUUUAAUGUUUUAGCUGGUGGACGUAGAGCUAAUUUGAACUACUUUAUAUAUUGUUGGUAGUUUAA